UGGAAACGGUUGCUAAUACCCCGUAGGCUGAGGAGCAAAAGGAGAAAUCCGCCCAAGGAGGGGCUCGCGUCUGAUUAGCUAGUUGGUGAGGCAAUAGCUUACCAAGGCGAUGAUCAGUAGCUGGUCCGAGAGGAUGAUCAGCCACACUGGGACUGAGACACGGCCCAGACUCCUACGGGAGGCAGCAGUGGGGAAUUUUCCGCAAUGGGCGAAAGCCUGACGGAGCAAUGCCGCGUGGAGGUGGAAGGCCUACGGGUCGUCAACUUCUUUUCUCGGAGAAGAAACAAUGACGG
rnacentral:ncRNA from 1 species